rnacentral:rRNA from 1 species
UACGGGGGGGGCAAGCGUUGUUCGGAAUUACUGGGCGGAAAGGGCUCGUAGGCGGCCAACUAAGUCAGACGUGAAAUCCCUCGGCUUAACCGGGGAACUGCGUCUGAUACUGGAUGGCUUGAGUUUGGGAGAGGGAUGCGGAAUUCCAGGUGUAGCGGUGAAAUGCGUAGAUAUCUGGAGGAACACCGGUGGCGAAGGCGGCAUCCUGGACCAACACUGACGCUGAGGUGCGAAAGCGUGGGGAGCAAACAGG